GGGAUAUUUUCCCUGCCAACUUUUGACCCCAAUGUCUGCAUCAUUCUGCCCCAAUGAUGAGGGUGAGGAUCAGUAUGAAAACACUGAUGAAGAGGAAGAGGAUGGAAAUGAAAAACCUGAAGGACUCUAAAUGGAUGUGGUCUCAGCAAAGAGCAGCUCUGGAUAAUACAGUUUUCAUGCAUGUGGAUGUUUGAUAAAGCCUCAUCCUCAUUUUACACAUGUGGAAACUGAAGUGGGAAGGCAUAGAAAAAGCAGACAGCAAAAGAAAAGAUGAAUCUGUUCUUCAUGGAUAUUCUUGUUUUCAUUAGCCUGAAAUACUAAUUUUGUUUCAAAGUUUCAAUGCCCCAAAGUGAUACUAACUACUGACAUCUGACUUUACUCUUACCUUUUACAGAUAAUUUGAUAGUAUUGUUCACAUUGGAAAUAAAAGCUUGUUUGAAAGUAAUAA
ensembl:lncRNA